GCGCAGACUUGUCCCUAUCGUGUGGUGGUGCGCGCGCUGUGCACGCGGGUGCAGACGCAAGUUGUAAAACCGUUUCUUCUUCUUGUACUAGUAUUGGUGGAUGAUAGAGGCGAACGGUCGAACGAACGAACGGAGCGUUGUAGAGGAAGAAGAGAAGAGAAUUAUAAUAGAGGAAGAAUCCGUAUCUGAGGACGACGGUUUGUUGAUGGUGGUGUCGGUUUGUGCUGCUACUCCGAUGUUCAGUGUUCAAUGUAUUGUUGACAGAGCGGAUUCUUCACAACGGACAAGUGUUGAUACUUUGGAAAAACUACCUCGCUUCAUGACUCUCUGUGCUUUUUUCUCCUAAACGUUUACCCGGAGCUCAGGAUCAUUAUUAUUGUUUUUUAAAUUCUUCGGCGGAUAUUUUGAACGCACGGGAAAAAUUUGGAGUUUUUAUUUCGUGGUGGAUUUGAACGAUCUUUGUGUUCCGUUUCAUUGUGUGGAAGCAUUAGUUUAUUCGCUGGAUUUGCAUUGUUGAGUGGUUCUGUGAUCGGAAUUACUUUUCUCUCAGUCAAGAUGCUUCUUCUUACUUGACUAUCGUUCCUCGAAACUUAUCGGUGAUUCUCUUGGAGUAAAAUACGUGUUGUCAAACGUGUGACAAGGAUUUCCACACUCGGACUAACGCCCUCCCGUCAAAGACAUCGAUUUUCCUCGGAGUGAGCACGUUUCUAACUGGAUUAUUUCCCCGCACACACACACACGAGGAGCGGAUUCUAGGACCUUCAUCAUUCCGUCAGUGCUGUUACUUCUAGUGCCCAAAUGUGUGGAUAAAUUUGGGUUAUUUUUUUCUGAGAUUUUUUUUUUUCUUCAACCAUCUUUUUUUUCCUCCUCCUCUGAAGUUUGUUAUUUCUCGGACUGGAUCGUUGUGAUUGGGAAUUGAAUUCGUAGGAUUAUCGAUCAUCGG